GGGUUUGUUGUUCACACCAUUACAAGCCAAUCCGGUGGCCACAAAGACCAAAGCACCAUUCCAUGCGGAGAACCUAGGGACCUUCUUCCCUCUCAGACACCUUCAUAGCAGGAUUUUAUUUUUGAUGUCUGGAUGCCAUUCAAGGGAAGACCAAGAGGAGGAUGAGAAGUGAGACCUGGUGCAGGCACAGAGGGAAAGAAAGGUCAGACCUUGCAGCAAGGAGGUAUCACUGAGCCCAGAAAACAGGAGACAACAGAAAAAGAUGGGUUGGAUAUAGGGAGAUCAGAGGGUCAAAAUUGGAGGUGUGGGGUGGAGUGUAGAGCGAACCCCAAUGGGCAGCGCCCAGGGCUCCCAAAACGCAGGAGGACGGUGGACCAGCGACAGCUGGAAGGUUUAAUUGCUCCUCUCCGCAGACCUGCUCGGCUCCCUCCCUCUCAGAUCUGCAUUUCAAUAUGAGAGCAGCACCGUCCCCCGACACAAAAGGGAGCGAUUAAACACAGCUCAGGCCCUUCAUGCUUUAGUGGAUUAAUUUGCUGAUCCCCCACGGAUUAAAGGUCUCGACAGGAUCAGCGGGAGCAGCGGUGCAGACCCCGACGGGAGGAGGACAGCGAUAGUGCCGGGCAGGCCUCAGCCCCGAGCGGCCCGCGGGGACCUCGCCCCUCCUCACGGUGUCACCGAGCCGUGUCAGGGUUCAAGGCAUCGGAAGCUCAGCUAAAUACCUCCUUCCCCAAAUCCUCCCUCUGCAUUUCGCGCCCCUUGGAUGCAACACUUGGAUGGGAAACCGUACCCAGUGCUGCUGGGGGCACGGCCUGGGGUGCGCAUCGCUAUUCCUGCUGCAAAACCAGAGCAGCGCUCGACCCCAAAGCCUCCAGCCAAGGUGCAGAGGGGUGACCGGGAGCAGCGGCUCUGGGGACAGGGGAUGGGGUGGGGGCACAGAGCCGGCGGGGGCUGCUCGCCCUCCCCAGGCCUGCGGGAAGCGGGGAUUGCAUCUGCCUUUAAUUACUCCCUCUCUGCAUAUCAGAUGCUCGUGCACCUUCUGCACAUGAAUGCUGAUUAAUUGCAGGGUUAGGCUCUGAGGCAGGCCGGACCACAUUAUUUCUGAUGUUUGCUCUUUUCACGAGGAGAAUAAAUG
ensembl:lncRNA